rnacentral:rRNA from 1 species
GACGAACGCUGGCGGCGUGCUUAACACAUGCAAGUCGAACGGAAAGGCCCUGCCUUUGUGGGGUGCUCGAGUGGCGAACGGGUGAGUAACACGUGAGUAACCUACCCUUGACUUUGGGAUAACUUCAGGAAACUGGGGCUAAUACCGGAUAGGAGCUCCUGCUGCAUGGUGGGGGUUGGAAAGUUUCGGCGGUUGGGGAUGGACUCGCGGCUUAUCAGCUUGUUGGUGGGGUAGUGGCUUACCAAGGCUUUGACGGGUAGCCGGCCUGAGAGGGUGACCGGCCACAUUGGGACUGAGAUACGGCCCAGACUCCUACGGGAGGCAGCAGUGGGGAAUAUUGCACAAUGGGCGGAAGCCUGAUGCAGCAACGCCGCGUGCGGGAUGACGGCCUUCGGGUUGUAAACCGCUUUCGCCUGUGACGAAGCGUGAGUGACGGUAAUGGGUAAAGAAGCACCGGCUAACUACGUG